GUUGUUGUUGUUGUUGUUGCUAUUUCUUGGGCCGCUCCCGCAGCAUAUGGAGGUUCCCAGGCUAGGGGUCAAAUCGGAGCUGUAACCACCGGCCUACGCCAGAGCCACAGCAACGCGGGAUCCGAGCCACGUCUGCAACCUACACCACAGCUCACGGCAACGCCGGAUCGUUAACCCACUGAGCAAGGGCAGGGACCGAACCCGCAACCUCAUGGUUCCUAGUCGGAUUCGUUAACCACUGCGCCACGACGGGAACUCCUCUAUUUAUUGAUUUUGCUUUUUAUGGCUACACCUGUGGCAUACGGAUGUUUCUAGGCUAGGGGUUGAAUCCGAGCUGCAGCUGCUGGCCUACACCACAGACACAGCAACGUGGGAUCCGAGCUGCGUCACUACAGCUCCCAAUAAUGCCAGCUCCUUAACUCUUAAAACUGAGGGAGAUCCUCAUGGAUACUAGUUGGAUUCAGUUACCACUGAGGCACAAGGGAACUCCAAGAAGGCAUUUUAAGGGGCCUCCCCCAAGUACCUACAGACAUGAAAUUUAGUUCAUUCUGGAAGCGAGUCCUUACUCCCUGGGCUCAAAUACAGACAAUGAGGCUGGAUCCUUUGGUACUUAGUGUACGUGCGAGUGCAGAUCCUUUGGGAAGCUGAUGCCAGGGUGGGAUUAACAGCAAUGAUUCUACCAGGAACCAUACCGGUGGGGGAAAUGGGGAGGGAGCUGUGGAAAUUCAGAGACGUUCCUGGACCUUGAUGCAGAGCUGAUGCCAAGUCGGAGAGAGAGGAGGGCACGAUUGGAUGGAAGCCUCCAUCCCAGAUGGCAGUGCCUGGUGCUGCGGGAGGAAGGUUCUGCUGGACCAUCUGGAAGUCCUGAAGCCAAGUCAGAUGUCAGGAUGUCCAGUGGCUCCUGGGAAUGGCUGUCUUUAUUGACCCUGCUGCUCUCAGUCUUUGGCUGAGAAUCAUGGCUUCAGGGCAAAGGCAGGCAUAGAUUUGGGGCCCAGGAGCCAGAAUUAAACCCUCUGUGACUGGAAAUCUGUGAGAUACAUUCUCAUGGUCCAUGGUAGGUACCAUCGCUCUGUCCCAACAUAUAAUAUCAACAAUUCCUCAUUGUAGUUUUGGCAGGCAGGGUCAUCUUACAAAUAUAUAGAUCUUAAGGUUCCCAAAGGAGACACAUUUCUCAGGAACAUCAGUUCUAUUUAAAUACACACUCGGUGUUUCUGGCGUGGCUCAGUGGAUACAAACCCCACUAGGAUCCAUGAGGAUGGGGGUUUAAUCCCAGGCCUCGCUCAGUGGGUUAAGCAUCUGGUGUUGCUGUGAGCUGUGGUGGAGGCCAGCAGCUGCAGCCCUGAUUCAACGCCUAGCCCAGGAACUUUUGUAUGCUGCAGGUGCAGGCCUAAAAAGAAAAUAAAUACAUACAUACAUACACACUCUAAUCUCAUUAUUUUAACUACUGUAUCUGAACCUGGUCCUUGGAAUGUCUCUAAUUUACCUUCUUUGGAGUAGUUUAUGCCUUCUGAUGCCAAUCUUUUUUUAAGUCCAAGGCUGCCUUCUUCAAUUUGUCUAAUAAGCAUCUCACAUCUUUUCUCAGCCGUGAUUAAGUACUUCCCAGGCUUCUCACAGCAAUCAGCCACGAUUUCUCAUAGAACCAUAAAUAUUUGCCCAUAGGCCAAAUGGGAAAGAGAGGCAGGAAUAACUCUUUGAAAUAAAUGACCAGGAACCCUCAAGUUCUUCACCUAGAAAAUGGGGGAAAUAAUAGCUACCUUAUGAUAAAAAGGGAAGGAUUAGCUUUGUCAGAAUGAGAUAGCAAACCACGCCAGCUACUUUCAUCAAAAGGGGUUUAAUACGGGAGGCAACAUGCUUUCAGAAUCACUGGUAGGACCUUCACAACAACACACCAAAGAGUUGCUAACUGCCACAAGCAGGAAGCUGGAGAAUUAGGAAGCCAAGGACCUAAUGGGUACAUUCCAGAUCACAUCGCCUGGCCUGCAGUCUUUGGACAGAUGAGAAAGCCCAUGCGGGGGUGCUAGCUCCAGGUUCCCCAAGGCUUGCAGAAUCACAGCAGCCAAAUGGAUGCCUCUUGCCUGGCUGUGCUCCUUCCUCUAAACUCUACUCUCAAGUCUCAUCCUGUACAGGCAACUAUUAAUGUUUAUAAGGCAACUACAAUUUAUUUGAGGCGUCACUUUAAUGCUUUUGCUUUUUCAAAAGCAUUCUAGGAAAUUUCUAGAUACUUAAUGAAUGACCUUUGAGAAUUCAACAUUAUACUAUUAAGAUACCUCCAUCUGGGGGUUUUCAACCCUGGCAUAUUACUUUUUAAGUUUUAAUUUUGAAGCAUUAUGAAUAGAGAAGGCACAGAACAGCUCAAAGAAAAACACAUGUUUGGGGCUUUUAAAUCUGAAUCUAUUAUUAAAAUAAUUAUAUUGAAAUUUAAAACUUCAAAGAAUUUAAAAUUUUAAAGAAGAAAGAGUUCCCAUUGUGGCUCAGUGCUAACAAAUCCGGCUUGUAUCCAUGAAGAUGUGGGGUCGAUCCCUGGCCUCACUCAGUGGGUUAAGGAUCCGGCGUUGCCACAAGCUGUGGUGUAGGUCUCAGAUGCGAUGCAGAUCCCGUGUUGCUGUGGCUAUGGCUCGACUGCAGCUCCGAUUCAACCCUUAGACAAGAAGCUUCCAGAUGCAGCAGGUGCAGCCCUUUAAAAAUAAAUAUAAAUAAAGACGUUAAAGAAGGAAUUUAAGAUUUUAAAGAGUAACGUUCCCUACUUAGCCUUUUGAUUGAAACCAUUAUAUGUAUUUAAAAUUAUGUUACAUUUCUUUAUCAAAUUUUUUUCCGCGCUUAUAUAAUCAGUUUCAGGGAAGAAUUUUCCAUUUGUACCAGAUUUAAGCAAGAAUGUUAUUGUUAAAGCAAACUGCUAUUUAUAAAAAUAGUAUUGUUCCAUUGAUACAUCAUCUUUGGAAGACUUGCAUCAUUUGUUUCCAAGCAGUGGAGAGUAAUUUCUUCAAGACUGAGAGUACUGGUCACGACAUGCUGAGUUUCCAUGUGGAAAUCCUUGGAAGGAUUCAGACACACACGCACACACAAGCUUCUCUUUGGACAGUGGGGAAAAAACAAUUCAGGCGCUCAGGGCUCAGAGGGGAGACUGGGUUUGAGCAAACCAAGCCUUCCACACGAGCCAGUCAACAUGUCCUGUGUGGCAGGUUGAAAAGAGAACUUUGGGCAUCUUCCUGGCUCCCAGUUUACCUGAGUGGAACCACAGGUUCAGCCCCUCAAGGGGCCUCUGCAUCCGGGUAGGAGACCCCAUGUGGAGUGUGGGCCUGUCCUCUCUUGUGCCUGUGCACCUGCUGUGGUGGCUGCGGUGGGUGGCAAUGAAGGAGGGUUUUAGGGUCAGUGACCCGGGGAGCCUGAGCUCACAGGGCCAGGCAUGCAGACGUCAUGCGGCAGGGCCAAGGGCUCCCAGAGGUUUUCUGAGCGGGAGGGUAACAUCUUAAAAUCUGCGUUGGAGAAAGGCCAUCUGGUGAGCCUCCUAGAGAGAAGGCUGGGAGUGAUGAGGGACGGGACUCGGAGAAGAGACCCUGUCAGAGGCAUUGUCUGGUCUGGGGAGCAACCGCCAGGGUAACUGGCGACUCAUGGAAGGUUCCAAGGACAACUCUGGGGUCCCCAUCUGGGCUGAAGACAGGACUGUGGUUAGAGGAGCAGCUGGCCUGUGUGUGGGCAGAAGGUUACCUGUUCAGUGGGAUUCUAGGUGGGCACACCCUGUGAGGGCGUGAGCUUUGGGAUUUGGAGCACAAGUCUCCCAGUGUGUGACAAGUCACCCAAAUGCUGGCCUGCUGUCCCAGGGAAGAUGGCCGGAUGCUCCCUGCACUCUGUCUGGCCUCAGAGAAGGUCUGGUCCUGUACCCACCUCCACGUCUCCAUCAGAGACAGGACCCUCCCCUUUGCAGCCCUCCAGCUUCGUUAUUCUCCUGACCUCAGAGCCUACGGCAGAUAAAAUGGACAAGCCAGGAGGUGAAGGUGGCUGAUUGAUCUGUUUGGGGUUUCCCUUCUUUCCCCAAUCACACGGGACAUGACUGUUAACGUGACAGGACAUCACACCCUUGUUGACAGCUGCAGAGCAGCCGAGGGAAGAGGAGUGCCCUCAGCCAUCCGCCCACUGGUCUCAGGGGGUGCAUGGGUCUCGCGUUACUCAUCCAGGCCACCAGGGCCGACUACUGUGCCUGUGGCUCUCCUAGGCUACCUUCACCAUUAAACAAAAAGUACUGGAUCAGUGAGUACCGAGAUCGGAACCAGCCCUCCUGCUGCCGUCUGCCUUGCUGACACAGGGGAGUGGUGAGUUCUGUAGAGAAAUGACUCAUUCACACAUGACUUACUCUAAGCUGCAAGGACACAGUUUAUUAACGUGCCUCCAGCCCUCAUACCAGCCAGAAGUGUCUCCAGCGAACCUGCCUUCAAGGGGCCACUCUGAACAGAGAGCAAUGCCAAAAGCAGGUUUCAUAAUGUCCCAUCUGGUGGCUCCUGGGUCUGGGAGCGUUGUGGCAAUGAGGUCAGGAACAUAAGUUUUUCUUUUUGGUAUUGCCUGUAAUUUAUUGAAUACUCACUGAAAGUGAAAAACAGAAUGGUUGUCUGGGUACAGGAUUUUGUUGUUGUUGUUGUUGUUUUUGAUUCAUUAAAGUAGUUGAUUUACAAUAUUGUGCCAAUUUCUGCUGUACAGCAAAGUGACUCAGUCUCACACACACACACACACACACACACACACACAUCUAUCUAUAAAUAUAUAUAUUCUUUUUUUAAAAUAUUCUUUUCCAUCAUGCUCUAUCCUAGGAGAUGGGACAUAAUUCCCUGUGCUGUAGAGUAGGACUUUAUUGUUUAUCCAUUCUAAAUGUAAUAGUUUGCAUUUAUUAAUCCCACACUCCCAGCUGUGGAACCAGUGCAGUCAGCACAACCAGUUUGGGCUGCAUGGAAGACAGAGCUAAGGGCCAAGGGAAGGAUCCCACAGGAAGCAGGAGCUCCUCCCAGCACUGCUGAAUUCUGAGCUGCUUCCGCCAGUGCUGGGAUUCAGCUCCAAGGAGUGAGUUCUUCAUUCAACUUUAUGUAAAAGCACAAUCCCUGUAGCCAGAGCCCAGAGCAGCUAUCACAUCACCGUCAACUGUAGAGAGCAGCUUUUGGUCAGGGCGACUCUCCCCUUCGACACUCCCAACCUCCGUUUGGUUUGACAGCAGGCUUAAAUGUCAGAGCGAAACAGGAGAGUGGAAGAUGGAAUCAGAAUGGCUCAGAGGGGGCAAAGCAAUAUCA
rnacentral:lncRNA from 1 species